AAUGCACUGAAAACCACGAGAAACCCGUGAUUUGUCAUGUUAUAUCUAUUAGUAAAAGUUGACAGGCGAGGCUUAGGCAUCAACCUUUCUGUUUAUGCAUACAACCCCUGCAAAGCAACCCCAUGUCCCUCGGAUGGCAAAGGUAAAAGGGUCGGGUUCAGCUGCGCGAUAGCUCGCAAGCAAACCACACUGACAGCCAGUACUCGUCUUUGUCUUCCUCUGGACCGCGGAGACAGUGAUGUAGCUGGACGAAAAGACAUGUCAUCUUAACGCUAAUUUAUCAGUACAGGGCGCCUAACCCAUUAAUUUAACUGGUCAUAGUUCGUGACCCCGUUCCGCCAGCGUGCUGGGAGUUUUUUCUUCUUCCUCCUCCAGCGCCCUUCUCCUUCCUAGCGCACAGAGCGGCGCGAGCCAGACAGCGGUGACGUCAGCCUGUCUGCACCUGAAGGACCGCCGUUGAUUGGCCAACAUUUUUUAUUUAUUUUUUGCAUUCAUGCAACACAACGUAUUGAAAUGGCUGGGUCUGGUCAAGAAAGUGAAACAAUCAGUAUCAUAGGAAAUUCACAGCUAGUGAUUAUGAAACUGUGAACUGUUUUGAAAUAGUUUUGAAAUAUUUUAUGCACUAGAUCAAACCAUUACUUUAUAUUUGCAGUAUUUAAAAUACUUCAGAAACCAUGUACAGUAAUUGUUUCUUAAGUAUUCAAAUUGUUUUAAAACACUCCCCUCAAAUGCUACUGGGAUUUCCAAAAUACUAUCCCAAAGUUUUAGUAAAAGGCUGGUAAAAGGCUCAUGUGAAUGUUAUUAUAUAAGUGAGUGAGCAAUAAAAACAGUGCUUAUCACUUUAUUAGACUUAAGACUUGACCUGUAUUCCCUUUAAAGCCAGCUGACUAAGUUUGGGGAAUAGAAAUUUAAUCAAUGUCUGUGUGUGUGCCAUUCUGGAAUAACAUGAGAUGUUGAGCAUCACUAACAUUACAAACAUAAUGUUUAUAUUAUGUUUCUGAACACAACCACGAGUGCAUAUUGUAUUAAAAUAAAUUGUGUUGGUUCUUAUUCUACAUACAGGCACUGAGUAUAUGAAACAGCAUCCAUUAUAUCAACUACUUCGCAUUUACCCCUCUUCUAUACCGUUAAAAUAAAUCUGCACUUACUAUGAUUAUUGUUCAGAGGGACAGCCAUUAAGGAUUUUGUGAAAUAUUGUGAUGUACAGUGCUGUGAAAAAGUAUUUGCCCCCUUCCUGAUUUACUCUAUUAUUGCAUAUUUUUCACACUGGAUGGUUUCAGAUCUUUAAUGCCUCCAAAUCAUUGGACGGUGCUUCAUCCCACAGCAAGGUAAGCCUAUUGUUUGGCUUAUGUCUCUGACUGUUUUUGUUUUUCCUCAGGCUUCCUUGACCUUCAUUGGCAGAACUCAUGGUCCUCAUGCUGACAAUCACGAAAUAACAGACUCCAAAGCCAACCAAAAGCCUAGAAUCAAGACAACAUACUGAAUGUUUUUUUUCCCUGCACCAAGGAAGUGAUUGAACACACCUGACUAAUCAGAAACAGCUGAGAAGCAGCCAACUGUCCAAUUACUUUUGGUCCCCUAAAAUGGGGGGACUAUGUAUAAAAGGGAUGUAAUUCCUUAUGAAUACCCUGAAAUCAAGGGUGACUGACUGCGCUUUAACCUUAUAUUGAUUGUUUCAUUUUAAUGUGCUGGAGUACAGAGCCAGAAGAAAAAAUUGUACCACUCCCCAAAUAUUACAGACUGUACUGUACAUAAGAAAACUAAACACAUUAUAAUAUGCUAUUACAUGCAA